rnacentral:rRNA from 1 species
UACGUAGGUGGCAAGCGUUGUCCGGAUUUACUGGGCGUAAAGGGCGCGUAGGCGGCCUCUGCAAGUCGACUGUGAAAUCUCCGGGCUUAACCCGGAACGGUCAGCCGAUACUGCAGGGCUAGAGUGCAGAAGGGGCAACUGGAAUUCUCGGUGUAGCGGUGAAAUGCGUAGAUAUCAAGUGGAACACCAGUGGCGAAGGCGAGUCCCUGGACAAUACCUGACACUGAGGCACGAAAGCUAGGGGAGCAAACAGG